AGCGAACGCUGGCGGCAGGCUUAACACAUGCAAGUCGAGCGGGUGUAGCAAUACAUCAGCGGCAGACGGGUGAGUAACGCGUGGGAACGUACCUUUUGGUUCGGAACAACACAGGGAAACUUGUGCUAAUACCGGAUAAGCCCUUACGGGGAAAGAUUUAUCGCCGAAAGAUCGGCCCGCGUCUGAUUAGCUAGUUGGUAGGGUAACGGCCUACCAAGGCGACGAUCAGUAGCUGGUCUGAGAGGAUGAUCAGCCAUAUUGGGACUGAGACACGGCCCAAACUCCUACGGGAGGCAGCAGUGGGGAAUAUUGGACAAUGGGGGCAACCCUGAUCCAGUCAUGCCGCGUGAGUGAUGAAGGCCCUAGGGUUGUAAAGCUCUUUUGUGCGGGAAGAUAAUGACGGUACCGCAAGAAUAAGCCCCGGCUAACUUCGUGCCAGCCGCCGCAGUAAUAC
rnacentral:rRNA from 1 species